rnacentral:misc_RNA from 1 species
CAGCUGAUCCGCCGUCAGCCUUGCCAUCGCAUCAUCGUGCGGCGCCAGGACGGUUAACAAGUACCCCUCCGACACCAGCCGCCCCAUCUCGGUUGCUAGGGAGGUUAAAUUCACCAGAAUGUCAGCCAUCUCGUUGUAGCCGCCAUAGAGGAGUAAUGUCUGAAUGAAGUCUUUGACCUGUGAUUCGCCGUCGAAGUGGUGCUUCCCGGAACCGGGACCGGGUGCGGGGGCAGGGGCGAUGGAUGGCCCGGGGGCCAGCGCGUCGAAUAUGGGGAGCGCGGGAGGGGAUCCGGCCGGUGCUGGCGGCGCCUGCUUCUUGAGGCGGUGCGUGCGAGGGUCGACUUCGGGUGCGCCGGUGGGUAAGACGGCGGAGAUGUCGGCGAGGCUGCGGCGGCGGUUGAAGGCGUCCUGGACGGAGCGGGGGAUGAGGAGGCCAGAGAUGCCGUGGAUGACGCCGUCGGGGCGGACGACGGCGGCGGGGUGGACGACGGCGGCUGGGUCGACGGAGACGAGAUCGUCGGCGAGGGUUUGGUGGCGGGAGGCGGCGGGGAAGGAAGAGAUGCGGGUCGGGAUGACGUGGGAGAGUAUGAGGGUUUGGAGGGAGCGGAGGUUGCCCGGCUGGAGGAGGAAGCGCUUGAAGUCCGGGUCGAGGUCGCGGUCGAGGGCGGAGUUGAUCGGGGCGAGGAUGGUGAGGUUGUGGCGGCCGACGGCGUCUUCGAGGGUGUGGAGGAGGAGGGCUUUCUCGACGAGCUCGGCGAGUUCGGUGUAGUGGGAGUCCAGGAGGGCGACUAGGACGGAGUUGGAGUUGACCUGACCCGAGGACGGCAAUGCCGGUGAGGAGGAGGCGAUGGAGAGAAGGGGGAGGAGGAGGGCGGCGAGGAGGCCGCGGCGAUCCAUGGCGGCGGCGGCGGAGGGGAAGUGGGGGAUCA